GAUAACUGGCUUGUGGCGGCCAAGCGUUCAUAGCGACGUCGCUUUUUGAUCCUUCGAUGUCGGAUUGUUCAACCACUCAAUUAAACGUGAGUU
rnacentral:ncRNA from 2 species